GUUCGCGCCCGGGUAUGGGCGAGGGGACGGUCUAAAGUUAUACUGUUACAUUGAUGCUGUUGACCCGGAUCACUGGUUGCUGCGGAAAAGGAGGAGGUCAGAAAGGGGGAUACAGUGGAGGCUGCUGAGAGAACGGCUCAUAAUACUGAACAGAACGGAGCAAACGGAAAUGGCAUCAAACCUGGAAAUCACCUGUUUGAGAAAAGCAGAACUGCCGUGUUGACAAUGUCACGAUCGUCGUAAGGAACGGACCAAAAUGCAGCGUGGUAGAGAUUCAACUGUGAGGUCAGCAGACAACCUGGGCAGUGCCAUCUAGUGGACUCUGUGAGGAGAACAAGCUCAGACUCAUUGGGCUUGCACGGCGGGGGAGCUGACAUCAACCCAACCUCUUGCCCUGGGCUCGUUUUCAUCUGUUGCUUAUAAUCAGAACAGAGUUUCCAUCCAGAAACAACCUCUAGCCCCUAGGAUCUGUGUAGAUCUGAAAGGGUGGGAUAGGUAUGGCCAAAGUUCCACAUAACCGUUUUCCAUUACAGUGUAGGCUAUUCAUAGAGUAUUCUUUCCCUGUUUUGGACAGGGAAAGAAUUUCUGUGUUUUGAAUGGUACUGUUAUUCCACCCCACAGAAUACAGUAACAUACUGUAUCUUUGGAGCUCCAAAAAACUUUUGACCACUAGUGGGUACAUGUUAUUGUUGUUUCUGGCUCAUUAACAUAUUUUGAGGCGUGGCUUGUAAGAGGUUAUAUUUGUUGCACUGGUGAGUGAGACUGCUGUAACAAUUUAGAUCCCACAUGGUUAUUGUGCCCCAUUGCAGUAAUUAUUAACCACUGUAAGUUUAAGCUGUUGGAGGGGGGUUGAUGGGUAUUUUUUUAUUAUGUUACCUAUGUUGAUGUACUGGUGCAUCAAUUGACUCUAGGUGAUUAAACGGUUGAGCAUUUUACUAUGUCCUUUAGGUCUGUUUUGCCUUGUAGUCGCUGCCAGUUUGGAAUCCUUUGUUAAGGCCUCCAGAAGUGCAAGUGAUAUAAAACACCAAAUGUGAAUUAAUAUGUUGUAAUGCGUGAACACUUUACCCAGCAGCCAACCUGCUUGCACCAAUCCAUUGUCCUACCCUCAAUGAAUUUCAUUCAUCCAUUCGUUCAUAAAUUAAUUCCGAAGUACUUGCUUUGAUACCGUAUUGAUAUUACAGUAAGUGUACUGUAACAUGAAAUACUGAAUUUUACUUGCCACUGAGCUGCCUGUAAGUCAAAAUCAUGGCAACCCCUUUACAGUGUUUUAGAGAGCAUUUUGCCUUCACUCAUUUAUGUCAGAUCUAUGAAGUGUUUAGAGUGUAGGGGCUAGAGGUUGUUUCUGGGUGGGGCCAGAGUUACGGGUAAACCACUCUGCAAGUGUUGCAUCUGCACUUUUUAAAUAUCUAUCAGUCACAGCUAAAACAUUCAACAAUAGUUGCUGAUACAGCAAAGAUACUGAGCUCUGUGCAUGAUGAUUUAUAGUGUAUACCGAUUUAUAGCCUCUCCUACUUUAUGGUCAGGACUUGUUGAUACCUAGCUCUUUAAAGUCUGGGGUUAGUCCAAGAUGUACUCUUAAGGAGCCUUCCAUUACUCCUUAAGGUCCAAGGAUCUUAUAUGUUAUUUUCAGAGGUACACUGGCUCUGGCAGCCAAAACAGCCAAAUACUCCAUCUAAAAGUGAAUAGAUUCUCAAUUUCAAUACGAUUCUAGAAAAAUAAAGCCUGUUACUUUUAAGUCACAUCAAAAUAAUUCCACAACAAAAUAUACUUACUGUUUUAAAUUAAUCUGCUUUCACAGUUGCAGGCGACAGAAUGUUUCAGUGACAACACGUUUCUGGUGGCCGCCUUCUGUUACACACAGGUCUUCAGAGCAUGCUAGAUAGAGCAUGCUAAUUAGCACAGGUGGUCCCUCUGUCUUCCGUCUGUCUUCUGUAAACAAACGCUGUAACAUGGAGAUAUGGCCGUGUGGGAAACAUAACCCUAACCCUAUGAAGGUCUAUGGAAAGUGAUUUCUCGCUGAUAUAAAAGAUAAGGUCCUCAUGCUUCCAAUAUCAUUCCACAAGUGAUGCAUGUUAAUAAUGUUAAGACCAAACGUCGGGGAUCUUAACAAAACCAAAAUGAUCAACCAAGACAAAGACCAAUCUAUAGAUCUAUAAUGCCUAUGUUAAUUUGUAAGAUUAGUAAAAAGACCUGCAUCGUGGGUAGUGUAAAGUAUUAUACACACACACCUUUAGGACUCUGAUUUACUCUAUCAUGUUUUGAGUUCAAUUCCAUAUUUUAUGUCAUACAAUUUUUAUAAUCUUAAUAUCUAAAACAUUAAACAGCAUUCCUCAGACUAGGUUUGGACAAAGUUAAAAUCCUUUUUUUCCCCCGCACCCUUUCACAACCGAACUCUUAUUGCAACUGUAUUAAACAAAUAGUUCAUUAGCAUCAAAUAUAUUUACAAAAAAUUUGCUUGUCAGUUUUCUGAGAAAAUAAAGUUAUGUAUUAGUUCUACUGAUUUGAUCAUUAUAGUAGAAAAGUGCUGACACAUUAUGUCUGCAUCCCAAAUGGCACCCUGCUAUUCCCUAUAUAGUGCAUUAUUUUUGCCCAGAGCCCUAUGGGAGGUGGUGAAAACGUCAUGCACUAUAUAGGGAAAAGUGUGCAAUUUGAGACACAGCCUAUGCGUUUUUUUUUCAUGGGAUUUAUCCUUAUGCUCUAUAAAGCAUGAAGCCACUGAAUGUGCUGUGGUUUUCCCUGUCUGUUCUAGAUGUAGAGUACCUCCAUUUCCCUACUGUAGCUGUUGAAUCUGUCAUUAUCUGUUUGAUGAUCACACGCAGACAACAUGUGCCUAUACAGACUAACUUUGGGCAAAUGAUGAGAAGAUGAAGUUGCACACUCGUCUCACUGGCGCAUCGAAGACACCUGUAUCAGAGGACUGGCAUAGAGAGAUGAGGUCAGAAGACACCUGAUUCAGAGGUGUAAUAGGGAGAGAUGAGGUCAGAAGACACCUGUAUCAGAGGGGAAACGGGGAGAGAUGAGGUCAGAAGACACCUGUAUCAGAGGGGAAACGGGGAGAGAUGAGGUCAGAAGCAACUAUAACAAAAAACAUACCUUAUACAGUGCAUGGGUGUAAUUAAAACGUUGCAACUGAUGUGUACCUUUUGUUACUGUAGCCAUUCAGUGCCUCGGUGUCAACAUGUG
ensembl:lncRNA